rnacentral:rRNA from 1 species
AGUUCGUGGAGCGAUCUGUCUGGUUAAUUCCGAUAACGAACGAGACUCUCGCCUGCUAAAUAGACGGCGUCGGCCCCCCGGGCCGGCGGCCGCACAUGCUUCUUAGAGGGACAAGCGGCGUUCAGCCGCGCGAAGCUGAGAGCGAUAACAGG